AUUGAACGCUGGCGGCAGGCCUAACACAUGCAAGUCGAACGAGUGGCGGACGGGUGAGUAAUGUCUGGGAAACUGCCUGCUGGAGGGGGAUAACUACUGGAAACGGUAGCUAAUACCGAAUACCAUCAUAUGUGCCCAGAUGGGAUUAGCUAGUAGGUGGGGUAAAGGCUCACCAAGGCGACGAUCCCUAGCUGGUCUGAGAGGAUGACAAGCCACACUGGAACUGAGACACGUUCCAGACUCCUACGGGAGGCAGCAGUGGGGAGUAUUGCACAAGGGGCGCAAGCCUGAUGCAGCCAUGCCGCGUGUAUGAAGAAGGCCUUCGGGUUGUAAAGUACUUUCAGCGGGGAGGCGUUACUCGCAGAAGAAGCACCGGCUAACUCCGUGCCAGCAGCCGCGGUAAUUC
rnacentral:rRNA from 1 species